AUAUCAAUCAGCGGUGGAAAAGAAACCAACUGGGAUACCCUCAGUAAUGGCGAGUGAAGGGGGUCCAGUCCAACCUCGAAAGGAGAAAUCCUGUUGUGGGGUGAUUGAGGGAGUAUGGGGUGUAAAUAUAAGUGAAGUGAGUUGGAAUACUCUACCAUGGAGGGUGAAAGUCCCGUAACUUAUAUGUAGCAUCCCUUGUCUCCUUCUUUCGAGUCGAGCUAUUUGGGAGUAUAGCUCUAAAUGGGUGGUAAAGGACAUCCAAGACUAAAUACAAUGCCAGAGACCGAUAGCGCACAAGUA
rnacentral:rRNA from 1 species